AUGAUACUCCCUCUGUCCGGAAAUACUUGACUUAGAAAUGGAUAAAAUUGAUGUAUCUAUAACUAAUUUAAGUCUAGAUACAACCAUUUUUAGGACAUGUAUUUCCGGAUGGAGGGAGUAGAAA
rfam:Triticum aestivum genome assembly, contig: Triticum_aestivum_CS42_TGACv1_scaffold_115124_2AS